AGGACGAACGCUGGCGGCGUGCUUAACACAUGCAAGUCGGAGCGGUAAGGCCUUUCGGGGUACACGAGCGGCGAACGGGUGAGUAACACGUGGGUGAUCUGGCCCUGCACUCUGGGAUAAGCCUGGGAAACUGGGUCUAAUACCGGAUAUGACCUGCUCUCGCAGUGGGGGGUGGUGGAAAGAUUUAUCGGUGCAGGAUGGGCCCGCGGCCUAUCAGCUUGGUUGGUGGGUAAUGGCCUACCAAGGCGACGACGGGUAGCCGACCUGAGAGGGUGACCGGCCACACUGGGACUGAGACACGGCCCAGACUCCUACGGGAGCAGCAGUGGGGAAUAUGCACAAGUGGGCAAAGCCUGAGUGCAGCGGACGCCGCGUGAGGAUGGAAGGUCCGUUCGGGUUAGUAAACCUCGUUUCA
rnacentral:rRNA from 1 species